rnacentral:lncRNA from 1 species
AUCCAGGAUCCCACGCUGCACCGACUGCAAUGUCUCCUUGGCCUCCUCCCGUCUGUGACAGUUCCUUAGCCUUUCCUGCUCUUUCAUGACCUUCACACUUUGGAAGAGUCCUGGAUCUAAGGCUCUUCUCAACGCAGGAUGCAUUAAGAUCCUUUGCUCUGACGUAUGCGCUAUCCACCGACUUUUUUUGUUUGUUUCUGGCUUUUUUUGUGUUGUUUUUCCUUUUACAGGGUCUGGCUCUGUCACCCAGUCUGGAGUGCAGUGGUGUGAUCACGGCUCACUGCCGCCUCAACUUCCUGGGCUUAAACAAUCGUCCUGUCUCUGCCUGCCGAGUAGCUGGGACUACAGGCAGCACCACCAUGCCCAGCUAAUUAUUUGAUUUGAUUUGAUUUUUUUGUAGAGACAGGGUCUCGCUAUGUUGCCCAGGCUGGUCUCGAACUCCUGGGCUCAAGCCAUCCUCCCGCCUCAGCCUCCCAAAAUGCUGGGAUGAUAAACAUGAGCCACUGCGCCCGGCUCACCCAAAGAGAUUUUGACUCUCUAAAGGUUUGUUCCCCACUCUGUGUCUUUUCCUCUAAUCCCAGAACUCACCUACUACAGAGCACUGUUGCUCAAACAUCAGCGUACACAGAGUACCCAGGGCUGUGGUGAACACGACAAGUCCUGAUUCAGUAGUUCUGGGUGGUGCCCAACAUCCUAAUGGCCCUGGUGAUGCUGGUGUUUCGGGGCCUGACCACAUCAGAGCCCCAAGGCUUGUCCAGGAGCCCCGCAGUGGCCAGUCUGCCUCCCUGCUGACUCACGAGCCCCCCAGAGCCGGUCUCUUUAUCUUACUCAUCUCUGUGUCUCCUCCACGGUAUGUGCUCACUAAACGGAUGUUGAAGAAAUAAACAAACCAUGGAGAAAACCAUUUUCCAGCUAAGUAAAAACAGACUAUUUUAUUUGUCCUGUGAUUGACAGCCCUCCUGGCUGAUUCCAGAAUUGCCCUCUUGGCUGGUGGGAGGACAGUGUGGUCGAACGGGCCUGACACUUGGAACCUGGAGUCCUGGUUUUGAAUCCUGGCCCUUCCACUCACCCGUGGGAUGACCCUGGGCACGUUACCAAGCUCUUUGAGUCACGAUGUCCUCAUCCAUAAAAUGAA